UGGGGAAUAUUGGGCAAUGGGGGAAACCCUGACCCAGCAACGCCGCGUGAGGGAAGAAGGUUUUCGGAUUGUAAACCUCUGUGACAGGGGACGAACACAAUGACGGUACCCUGAGAGGAAGCCCCGGCUAACUACGUGCCAGCAGCCGCGGUAAGACGUAGGGGGCGAGCGUUGUCCGGAAUUACUGGGCGUAAAGGGCGCGUAGGCGGCGCUACAAGUCAGGUGUGAAAUGACCGUGCUUAACAUGGUACUUGCACAUGAAACUGUAGUGCUUGGAGUGCAGGAGAGGGAAGCGGAAUUCCUAGUGUAGCGGUGAAAUGCGUAGAUAUUAGGAAGAACACCAGUGGCGAAGGCGGCUUUCUGGACUGUAACUGACGCUGAGGCGCGAAAGCGUGGGGAGCGAACA
rnacentral:rRNA from 1 species